rnacentral:rRNA from 1 species
UACGGGGGGGGCAAGCGUUGUUCGGAAUUACUGGGCGUAAAGGGCGUGUAGGCGGCCAACUAAGUCCGACGUGAAAUCCCCAGGCUUAACCUGGGAACUGCGUCGGAUACUGGAUGGCUUGAAUCCGGGAGAGGGAUGCGGAAUUCCAGGUGUAGCGGUGAAAUGCGUAGAUAUCUGGAGGAACACCGGUGGCGAAGGCGGCCGCCUGGGCCUUUUCUGACGCUGAGACGCGAAAGCGUGGGGAGCAAACAGG